ACAGCCUCCUGCGCCACCAGCGAUGCCACCGUGCCGAGCUGGAGCUGGAGAGGGCGGCCGCGCUGCAGGCCCUACAGGCCCAGGCUGCGCAGUCCCCGGCCCCUCUGGAGCAGGAAGCCGAGGGGCUCCCGCUGCCAGUUCCUCGAAUCAAGGAGGAGCCGCCCUCCCCGGGGACCUUGCCCCAGUCCCCAGCGGCACCCCCGGUGUUCCUCAGCGCCUCCUGCUUCGACAGCCAAGACCACUCCGCCUUCAAGAUGGAGGAGGACGAGGUGGACAGCAAGGCCCAACUGCGCGGCUUGGGAGGCCUGGCCUCCUGACCCGCACGGCCCCUCCGACCUCUAGCUUGCAGUGGAUGGAGAGGACCCCCUGCGCCGGCUCCCUCGAGCCCUGUCCCCGGAGCAAGGCCCCGGCCGCCCCCCCUUGCCCAGACCCCGAUGCCGCCCCAUCUUCAGGCAGGACGACUUGGAGCCGGAGGUGGAGGACGCUAGGCCAGAGGGAGGUGGGCAAGUGGCCUCGCCCAGCCGGCCUCUCCCGUGACAUACACUGGACACCAUCACCUCUUCUGAAGGCCCGCCAGGCUGUCCCCGUGAGCACAGGUCCUAGGAGUGGAGUGGAGGGAGGAAGAGCAUCUGCCAGCCAACCUUCCUUAAACUUUCUUGUGCCAUCUGCCUUUCCACCACCACCUUCAAUGGCUCUCUUGCCCUAUCAAGUUACUCCCCAGGAGGAAUACUGAAGACGGCCACCAGCUGGUGGCUGCUGCCACUUAGUUACCACACGCGGACAGGCAUAGGAGCACAGCAUAGGAGAUGAGGUGGCCACCCGACCUCAGCCACAGGUGCCCCUGCGGGAAGCAGAGAGCAUUCACUUUCCAGAGGCUGCAGGAGUCGGAACCACCACCCCAGCUCGGGUCCACGACACUGCAGAGUCUCCGGCGUGAGGAGGGGGAUUGGGCCAUGGACUCACUGCUCCUCUGGGCUCAUCCGUGGAGUUCUUAGCUGACUGUGCCGCUGGGAGGCAGGGGCUGGCAGGACAUGGCUGACUGGGGCGUGACUGGAAGGGUACGUCCUCGACCCUGGCUCUUCCCUCUGUCUCUGCUUCCUGGCUGCCAUGGAGUGAGCAGCCAUCCUCCACCAGGCCCUCUCACUGUGCUGUUCUGUCUCGGAGCUGGCCGGCCAUGGACUGGACCCACUGAAACUGUGAGCCAAAUAAACCUCUCCUCCUAAACGCUCUGGGUGUCGCUGUCGUGUCCCAGUGCCGCCACAGCUCGCUAACCCAGUCCCCUCCCCACACGCUGCUGCUCCGGCGGGAGGGCCCCAUCCCUGUGCUGGGAGUUCCUCCCUCCCUCCCUAGCCCGAACACCACCGCUGCCUCAUGCAGCUGCUGCCUCCAGAGAGAAGCGUUCCCAGGAAGAAAUCCGGAUCCUGUGGGGAGGACAGGCUCAGAGAGGCAGCAAGCUCCGCUGCUCUGCUUUGAAAUACCCA
rnacentral:lncRNA from 1 species